AUGUACUCUUUGAGAAACUCAAUGCAAGGCCUGGAGAAGGAGGUGGGAGUGGGUUUUCAGAACCAGAAUAGUUGGAGCCAGAGCCACCACUGCUGCUCAUGAAAGGAGGCGGAGGUGGUGGUGGUGGUGUCAUCGAAGCAGGAUGUGGAGGUCUUGAUGCAACAGGUGGCGGUGGAUUAGGUUUUGGCAUUGCUGUGAAUACACGAUCCGGUGGAGGAGCAUGCUGUUGCCAAUGCUGCUGCUGCUGUCCACCAUAAGGACCAUCUGAUUACAAUCACCAAAAGAAAUUGCAACUCUAUGAGCUAAAUAUAUUGAGUCCUAAAUAAAAGUCCAAGAAUGUGAAUAUAUAGAUCAGAAGUUUAAAUCUUUACAACAGAACAACAAUCAAAAAAGAAAAAAGAAAAUAUAACAGAAGAAAAAAGAUUUAACCUUUAGGACCGGGAGGUGGAGGGACAUAAUAAGCAGCUUCAUCAUCACGUCUUCUUCUCUUUUUUCUGCAACAAAUACAUAACAAACUCAAAACUAAUAGAAUCGCUACUCCUCCAAUAGCUAUUCCCACUACAACUCCCGUCGAUAUCCCCGAAGAAGAAUUCGAAGGUGGAGACGGCGGAGACGGCGAGCUGGAAGUAGGCGGAGCAGGAGGACUCCUAGUUGUAGGGGUAGGCGUAGAGGGUGUAGUACCAGAGUUCGUCGGAGGAGAGGGCGUGGUCGAAGGUGGAGACGGAGGAGAAGGAGUGGACGUUGGAGGAGAAGGAGAAGGAGUUGAUGGAGGCGGCGGAGAGGAGGAGGAAGUAGGUGGAGGUGAAGAGGGGGUUGCUGGGGCGGGAGGUGGUGCUGAGGGAGUUACUGGUGCGGGUGGUGGUGCAGCUGGAGUGGCGGGGGGUGGAGCAGCUGGAGUGGCAGGGGGUGGAGCAGCUGGAGUUGCAGGGGGUGGAGCAGCAGG
rnacentral:lncRNA from 1 species